rnacentral:lncRNA from 1 species
AUGGGAAUCGCAUUCAUGUCUAUGGUGGCAAUGGCAGCAGCGCCACCCAGUGGCCAAAACGGGAAUUACAGCCCCCAGAAUGGAAACAAUGGCGGUCACAGCGCUCCCCAGUGGCCACAAUGGGAAUCGCAUUCAUGUCGAUGGAGGCAAUGGCAGCAGCGCCCCCCAGUGGCCACAAUGGGAACUGCAGUCUCUCCAAUGGAAACAAUGACGGCCACAGCGCCGCCCAGUGGCCAAAAUGGGAACUGCAUCCCCCCAAUGGUGACGAUAAUUAAUCACAGCGCCCCACAGUGGCCACAAUUGGAACUGCAGUCUCUCCAAUGGAAACAAUGACGGCCACAGCGCCCCCAAGUGGCUGGAAUGGGAACUGCAGUCUCUCCAAUGGAAACAAUGACGGUCACAGCGCCCCCCAGUGGUGACAAUGAGAAUUACAUCCAUCUAUGGUGACAGUAAUUAAUUACAGCGACCUCCAGUGGCCACAAUAGGAAUUACAGCCUCCAGAAUGGAAACAAUGACGGUCACAGCGCCCCCCAGUGGCCGCAGUGAGAAUUACGCCCCCCAAUGGUGACAAUAAUUAAUCACAGCGCCCCCCAGUGGCUGGAAUAAGAAUUACAUUCAUCUAUGGUGACAGUAAUUAAUUACAGCGCCCCAGAGUGGCCACAAUGGGAACUGCAGUCUCUCCAAUGGAAACAAUGACGGUCACAGCGCCCCCCAGUGGUGACAAUGAGAAUUACAUCCAUCAAUGGUGACAGUAUUUAAUUACAGCGCCCCCCCAGUGGCCACAAUAGGAAUUACAGCCCCCAUAAUGGAAACAAUGACGGUCACAGCGCCCCCCAGUGGUGACAAUGAGAAUUACAUCCAUUUAUGUUGACAGUAAUUAAUCA